GCUCCCAGUGUCCCCAGUGCCACUCACCGCGCCAUGGGACAAGGUCAGUGACAUGGUCACCCUGGUGUCCCCAGUGCUCCCAGUGUCCCCAGUGCCACUCACCACGGUGUGGGACAAGGUCAGUGACGUGGUCACCCAGGUGUCCCCAGUGUCCCCAGUGUCCCCAGUGCCACUCACCACGCCAUGGGACAAGGUCAGUGACAUGGUCACCCAGGUGUCCCCAGUGUCCCCAGUGCUCCCAGUGUCCCCAGUGCCACUCACCACGCCAUGGGACAAGGUCAGUGACGUGGUCACUCUGGUGUCCCCAGUGCUCCCCAGUGUCCCCAGUGCUCCCCAGUGCCACUCACCACGCUGUGGGACAAGGUCAGUGACAUGGUCACCCUGGUGUCCCCAGUGCUCCCAGUGUCCCCAGUGCCACUCACCACGGUGUGGGACAAGGUCAGUGACAUGGUCACCCAGGUGUCCCCAGUGCUCCCAGUGCUCCCAGUGUCCCCAGUGCCACUCACCACAGUGUGGGACAAGGUCAGUGACAUGGUCACCCAGGUGUCCCCAGUGCUCCCAGUGCU